UAGCUUUCCUCAUAUUUUCAUUUGCUAUAAAUCUGUUACUAAAAAGUGUUUUACGAAAUGACUAGCAAUUCAUGAAUCACAAAGUACGUAAGAUGUAGGGCACGCAACCAGAUGAGUGCGUCCCUGAAUGAUCCAAGUUGUGUGCGACGAUGGUAUGGCGUGUACCUCAGUAUUCGCGCGUACGCAGAGGCCGUAUAUGGUAGUGGGCGGUAGAAACGUGCCGCAGAGGAACGCAACAAGCGUUGCGCGGGAUACGCAUGCGCAAACCUUGUACUACGCAUGCGCCCGAGCGAAGAAAUCUACGGGUAGCUUGUCGCGGCACAUACACGGCCGAUGCAGUAGAGCCGAGAAUCCCGUAGCGAGUAAUCAAGUAACUGCGAUGUGUGAUAAUACUAACACGACGACGCAGAGUAUAGCGGACUAUCUGUCACAGUUACUAAAAGACAGAAAGCAGUUAGCUGCUUUCCCUAAUGUCUUUAUACAUGUAGAGCGCCUACUAGACGAAGAAAUCGCAAAAGUUCGGGCGAGUCUCUUCCAAAUCAGUGGCGUAAAAAAGGAACCACUGAUUUUGCCAGAACCAGAAGGCGAAAUCACGACACUAACAGAGAAAGUUUAUGUGCCCGUCAAAGAACAUCCAGAUUUCAACUUUGUUGGAAGAAUUCUUGGGCCACGCGGGAUGACGGCUAAACAAUUGGAGCAAGAAACAGGAUGUAAAAUAAUGGUCCGGGGGAAAGGUUCCAUGAGGGACAAAAAGAAGGAAGAGUUAAAUCGCGGCAAACCAAACUGGGAACAUCUGACGGAUGAACUGCACGUUCUAUUGACAGUCGAAGAUACGGAGAAUCGUGCCACGUUAAAACUUGCCAGAGCUGUGGAAGAAGUCAAGAAACUCCUUGUUCCCGUGCAGGCUGAUGGCGAGGAUGAGCUUAAAAAACGACAAUUAAUGGAGCUCGCUAUUAUAAACGGUACCUAUCGGGAUUCCAAUAUGAAAGUUGCUGCAGCCACAGCAUUUGAUAUUUCAGCUUGCGACGAAGAAUGGAGACGUGUGGCAGCAGCUGCAGCGGAAACACAGCGGCUGCUUCCAGGCUUAGCCACGCCAAUGAGAACGCCCAGCGCUCCAUUGGGAGCACCGUUAAUUCUCUCACCACGGAUAUCUGUCCCAACAACUGCAGCAUCUCUUCUGAAUGGCUCAGGUCCACCAGGAUCUCUUCUCUCUGCUGGUGAUCCUCAUGGCUUAAUCUACACGCCAUAUGCCGAUUAUGCCAAUUAUGCAGCCCUGGCAGCCUCACCUCUUCUCACGGAAUACACCACUGCUGAUCAUUCUGGUGCAGCAGCCGCUGCGAAACAGCGUAGGCACCUGGGUCAGAUUCGCGAGCACCCUUAUCAAAGGGCUGGUGCUUUGUCGUGAAUUCGGAGAGCGCAAUCACAAUACUGUACGCGCCUCCGCGAAGAGGUUAGUUCUUCACAAACGUUAAAUUUUUUCAUUUUACUUCAAUAUUUUGUUAAUGAUAUAUAUAUAUAUACAUAUUAUGUUAUUUGUUCCUGUAUACAUUUUUACCACACGGAGCUCACAUACGAUAUUUUCAGGAUAAGCGUUAUUCUUUUUUUCUCCAAAAAUGCUUUAAUUUUCCUUGAAUUUUCACAAUUUGUACUUAAACUUACAAAUACAACUGAUUAAUAUAAGCAGACAGUCUUAUGCUAAUCAUCUGAUUAUUUGCUACAAUUCCACACUAUUUUGUUCUUCAAUGUAAAAUGUAGAUGAUAUUCCUAACUUGUUUAGUCAGAUUUUAUCAACAUAUUUUACUAGUUAUAUUAACAACAAAAAUGUUACAAUGCUGUCAUAAUAUGAAAAAUGAUGAGAAUGACGGUAGUAGUCAAAAGCUAUAUGUUUAUUAUAAACUUAUAUUUCAAUUACAUUCCGUGAACAUAAAUAAAUGAAAUAAUUUCAAAUUAUUUUUUUACAAAUAAUAUUAUAAAUUUUAAAGUUCCAGGAAAAUUAUCGGAUUUAGUUGAAGCUUACUUUUGUUUUACCUGACACUGCAACAAUUUAAUAUUUACUAAAUUUUUCCCUCUAGGUAUCUACAUUUAAAUCAUAUAGAUCUAUAUGGAAAUUUCAAUUAUCAAAUGUAGAUAUAUGUAUACUUUUAAAUUGUUAUAUAAUUACACGAGAGAGUAGAUAUAUUAAGACAGGAUUCUGGUAUUUCCAUGGCAGUAUUGAAUUAUCUUUUUUCAUUUUAAUCAUAGUAUGUUACCUUUUAUAUAUUACAAAAUUCCUAGUCACACCUAGUCACAAGAGAAUUCUUAUAUCUAAAGUAUUACAUUUAUAUUAAACAGAUGGGCACUAUACUAUUUCAAGAAUAUCAGAAAUUACUAGCUUUAUUUUACAAUUUAGUUUCAAUGUCUAAGUUAUUGAAUCUAAAUUUCUGAUUGGUAUUACUUUAUGAAAAAAUGGUAUUUACAUAUGAAAAUGAAAUGUACAUUAAUACGAGUUUUUAUAUUAUAUAUUUUUUAUAUUAUAAUGUAUUUUACAUAUUAUACAAUUUUUUUGCAUUUUAUUAAAAGUGUAACAGAUUAUUUUUUCAGUUUUAAAGUAUGAAGCUCAAAUACAAUUUAUUACCAUAAAUUUUAUUGAAUAUCUUGCAAUUAGAAAAGUACGGAAAUUACUUUUAAAACAUCUUUUGCUAAUACAGAUGGAAAACAUUGUGAUUUAUAAAAUUGCUGCAGUGAAAUUCAAGAAUAAAGACGGAUGAUACUUACAAUGUGUACGUAACAUCAAAAAGCUUGGAGUGCUAACAAUGGAAUCCACUCGCCCCGUGCUAACACCUGGACUCUGGAACAACAUCCGCGUUCGAUCGAUUCACCAACCAGAUGACCACCUUCGUCGUUCGCAUCACCAGCCCUGUUUGUCAAGUUUAUCCAUCCUGUAUCCUCUCCGUGUUUUUCAAACUUCGUAAUCUCAAUUAAAUUGAUUGUUCGUUUCUUAGCAUUCAUGGCAAUGUUAUUGGCGUUUAGUACAUUGGACAGAUAAUUAUCUGACAUUACGUGGAAUCACAACAUUAUGUGUGCGAGAGAAAAAAAUGUUUAAAUUAAGUCAGAUUCCAACGUAACAUAAUCAUGAUAGAUGUUGAAUGCUUCAAAAUUUUUAAUGUAAACGAAUGAUGAUUUUAAAGGAUCUCGUAUUUUGAAGCAAUUUAUAUAUUAAAAUUACUCUUUCUCUAUUGUAGAAUUAACAGAAUGUCAAUAUAAUUAUUAUUGACUUUCCUCUCAAAUACUAGAAUGUUUCUUUAUAAGUACAGAAUUAUUAGAUUCAUAUGUUUAUUAUACAUAUCUCGAAGAAUCAUUGAUUUCUUAUGAUAUGUUCUAAUCAUAAUGAAGGUUUUGUGUGUUAACAUUAGAAUGUUAACUUAUUUAUUGUUAAAAUGAAAGGUUUCGGUCUUUUUUUGGGGUUAUACAUUUUUAUACAAAAUGUUUCAUAAGGUGUGAUAUAAUCAGAAAAUGACGCAUUCGUAAGUGAAACAUAAGAUAAUUUUAAAUAGUUUUACACGACAGUGGUAUAUCCGUAUUUAAAUUAUUAAUAGCUAAAAUUUGCUGCACACAUUCAUACAAAUUUUUAUACAUGUACAUAUCUCAAAUUUCUUAAUGCACUUAACAUACCACAUUGAGACUCUAGAAUGAGUUACAUCAACUCUAAUAUUAUAUUUUCUGACAGAUAGCCCUUCAAUUUUUUUUUUAUUAUUCUUAAUGUAUAUUAAUUAUUCAUUUAAAUUGUAUCAUUUUUGUACAUUAAGUGCCAACAAAAAAAUUCCUUUAUUUAACAAUGUAGUUAAAUGUUUAAUAUUUUUUGCCUACUGUUAAUUGCUUAUAUUUGCUGACCUCAUUGUAUUCAUUGAAGUCCAUUUUAUAAAGACAUUACAGAAGCACAGAAUUUAUCAGUAUAUUCGAAGAUAUUUUUUAAUCAUUUCGAAUUUGUUUGAGUAUUGAUCUCCAGAAAUGGAGUUAAGUGUUAUAGAUUAAAACAGUUAUAAACCCAUAUUAGAAAUUCCACAUUUACAGGCACAAAUUUAUACACUUUUCAUCAUUUUAUAACUUAGUACAUUUAUGUUUCAUUCUUAUUCAUUUAAAAACGGCUGAUUAAAUGGUUUCAACGUCAAUGUAAGUAGGCGCCAGAAAUAUGUUUAUUCCAUUAUAAUCAAAAUAAGACAAACGUUUACCCGUGUGCGGAUUAAUAAUUAAAAACGAUUGUUUAAGUGGAAUAUACAUUUGUGGAAAAUAGUGUCAUAGUCAAGAAUAGCAGAGGUACUUAUUUUAUUACGUUCAUAACUAGGUUUGUAUGUAACUAACAAGAUUAUUAUUUUCAAUCAAAGUUACUUUUUAAUGUAAUAUAUUUUCACCUGAAGAAUCUCAUUUCUCUGUCAUAUCACACCUCCCAUAAAGCCGAUAUAUAGAGUAGUGGGUCGGCAACCUAUGUCCUGCAGAUUAGCCAAUGAUACUCAUAAAGUCAAAACAAUUGAAUCAUCAAUUGUUUACCAAGCCAGAAUAGUCAAAAAUGAAAUGUCUUAAUAAUUUGGAAUCGUCUUAUUGCAGUACAGUAAAAUGAUUGUGUUCAUUUAAAAGUUACAAAUAUAAAGUCAAAUAUUUUAAAACCAAGCGACCACACACAUCAUUUACUAAUAUUUUUAAUUGAGUUGUUUAAUUUCUUUAACAGUCUUAACUUGUAUAAGUAAUUUCACUUAAUUAAGGUAUUGACAAAUAAUACUAAUCCGCGAACUUUAGGAAAGAAUUAUUGUUUAUCAAACCUGACCCAAGAUCGAGAAAGGUUGCCGACCACUGUUAUAGAAAAACCUUAAGAUCAUACAACACAAUGACUAUAAAUUUUUAUAUUUAAAGUUGCUCAUCACAGACUGUAAAACCAAUUUUUCUCUGUGAUGGUCAAAUUAAUUAUAUAGUACUUAUAUUGUUAACAGAACAAUAGAAUGAAGAGGAGAAGUGAGUAAAAAUUAGAAAAGAAAUUUAAAUAAUACAAUGUAUUUUGUAUAAUUAAGAAAAUACCAUGUUCACUUGUAAUAAGUGUAACAUAAAAUCAAAAUUUGUUUCCAUUUCGACAUUUUUUUACAUGAAAAUAAAAUUAACGCUAAGUUUAGUCAACUCAUGAAGAAAGGACAAUUCUUCAAAUACUUUUCAUUGCAACUUGCAACUGUUUAACAUUAAGUGAAAGAAACAGUAAAGUUUUAUAACAAUGAUUGAAUAUUAAUAGUUUGCAAUAUUAAAAUACGUUGAAACAUAACGUAAUAUAAAGAUAUGAACUGUUAGAUAUAAAAUAUAAUUAUAAGCUAUAUCAGAACAAAUUCGAGGAGUAUGUAAUUUUAAAGAAAUACAUACUAAAAAUGAGUAUUGCAUGAAUUUCUGUAAAUUUACAGUACUCGUAAAUUUGUCGUUAACAAUGAAACGAAUAGUAAAAGAAUCAAAAUAAUCAAGUGUAACUAGGAAUUACAAUUAUUUAAUUUCUUCUUCAAUAUAUUAAUUUGUUACGUGUCUUGAAAGAAUCUCCAAUUUUUUUUAGCAAAGAGAUGUUAUACUGUGUUUUAAUAUACUGUAAUCUGAAAAUGUUGUUAUAUAAUAUUAUGGUGCAAUUUACUUGUAAAGUAAUCAACUUCACUCGUUUAUUAAAUAUUUUCACCCUUACAAAAUUUAGAUAAACUUAUAAGAAAAUAUCUUUUUGUGAAAAGUGUAAGGUAGAAAGGUUUAUUAACAAAAUAGUACUAAAAAUUAUAUCGUUAUAAACAACGAGCACGUUGAUUAGAGUAAAUCUAUUUUUACUUGUUUCUGUUGUAAAAUCACUACUCAUAAUAUUAUUUACUAUAUUACAUACGAAAUAUGUCUACAUGGAUGAGAAUGAUUAUGUUAGAUUGAUUUAUUUAUCAAUGAAUAUAACAUUAUAUAGAUAUAAAAAGAAUGUUUUGUUGAUUCAUUAAAUUUGCCAUGUGUAGAUGUAAUAAUAAGAACUUUUUACCAUGUUCAUUUGUGUAUAUUUAAUAAUCUGUGUGACUUACUUACAUUUUCAACAGACACUUCUACCUUUUUUAUUAUUUAAGGGCAGGUAAUUAUUAUUUUAUGUACAUAGAUCGAAUUUGAUGACAUAAUUAUAUUAAAAUUUAUUUGAAAUCUACUUAAAUAUACAUUUUAAAAUAACAUUCAUCAUAUUUCAACAUUUUAAAAAUACAGAGACGUAGAUAAAUGAAAUAAAUAUUAAAUAAUGUGUAGAAAUAAGGGAAAUCAAAAAAUGAAAUUAAUGUUGUUUAUUUAGUGUAACAAUAAUACAAGAGUUCUUUUAUAUA